ensembl:lncRNA
AGGAGAUGUCCCUUCAAAAGUACCACUUGCAGAGUGGAAGCCUCUUUGAGAGUUGUAAAACCACAGAACUCAACUUAUGCACUCUUAUAGCUGAAUUAAUCAGUUUUCAAUUUGUCAUCCCUCUAGCCUUAUACAGGAUAGAACUGUACUUAAUACUUGAAUGCAUAAUAUUCACACAUACACACACACGGACACUGUUCAUCCGUUGCCUCUUAAAUGACAGAACAAUAUCUGAUUUUUGCUCAGAAUGGAGAUUUUGAGCAAUAAAGUGUUCAUGUUCAAGAUGAAGCUUUCCCCCAAAUUAAUUCAGCUCUUUCCCUUCGUCCUCUUUCAUGGUGUUAAGGGAAGCCACCUUUGCAGAUUUCUUCUCUCAGGUUAUCUUACCCAUUAGCCUAUACUCAUCAUCACUAGAAAAAUCCAAAUGAAAGACAGAACUCUUUAAUCUUAUAGUGAAACACAAAUCUGUUAUAAAUUCUCAUCGUUUUUUGAGAAGUUUUCUUAAAAAAGGCCACUAUGUGCAUGACCUGUUCUCAAACGAGAUUUUACAUAAAUUACAAAUAUACAUGUGCACACACAUGAACAUUUUUGCACGCAGGAAUGCACUCGAAUAUGUAUACACACACACAGUCUCUUAUACAGUGUCAAAAAUAGCUCUGGAGUUAUAGAUGGCCUUAUUGCUAUACAAUCACCAUGGAAACUAUUGUCUCCAUUGGCAAAGAAUAUUUUUGUUUGUAUUUAUUCUGUCUCUUCUUAUUACUUGCACUGUAGUUCUUUUAAUUUUCUGCUUCCUUCCAUUCCUACCCCAGGAGCAAAAGAUGAUAGUAUUAUCUGAAAAGAGUUACCGGUCAGGGGAUUGAACAGGCUGAAAGAAAAGCCAGGGAUUCCUCCUUUUGUCUUGAGAGUGAAACAAGGUGAAAGAGGGCUCAAGGGGAGCAAAUGAAGCAGACAGCCCAGACCUGUGCCUGGAGACAUAACUGGAAAACCAAGCAGUGUGCCCUGCUGUUGCAGAGAACAAAGGACUACGUGGGAAUCUGAGCUACACAGGAGGCUGACAACCAGAAGAAUUGAGCGAUCAUGCCCUCAGACUUUUUCUUUGAUGGUGCAGGUGAAGGAGAACAGAAGCAUGAAAAUACUUCAGCUCUUCAGGCUCUCUUACUCUUUCUCUGCAGAAACCAUUUUGUGCAGUGCUCCAGGAGCCAGCUGCUUCACUUCAAUCAAGCACAGCACAGUUUCAGGGUAACUAAAAGAAAAUGAAGGAAAGGAAAUGCCUCUCCUCCGAAGUAGCUUACAUAAAGGCAUUGGAAAGAAGGCCUAAUUCUUCCACUGGGUAAAAUAUUUUUCAUUUAGACCUGAAAAUGGAUGCAAUUUUCUGCAGAUAAAACUGUUUAGUGAGAUGUGCAGAAUACUGGCAUAUCCAUCUGGCGAAGUUUCACAUGGCAGUGCCCCUGUUUUUCAGUGCUGUUCAUGUCAUUUUUUCAUGGGGCAGAAGCAGAGCUUGCAGCACUCAUAGCCAAGCAGUGCUAAGUGGCGCCAAGCAGUGCUAAGUGGCAUCAAGCAGACUCAUGUCCAACUUUCUGGAAAAGUGCAUGGGAAUUACAAAUGGAGCUCUGAGGAUCAAGCAGGGAGAUGAACAGGGAAUUUGUUAGGGGAUAAAGCAUAAUCUAUGCUAUCAAAGAGAGAGCAGAAAUGAGCCUGAGUCCAGCCAAGAAAAAGAGCAGAAGAGGUGCUCCCAUCACAGCAGAUCAGCUCUGAAGGCCACAUGGUGCCUUGGGUACAUGGAUGAGCUUGGUUUGAAGAGAACAAGAGCAGCUGAGUGUGCAACUUAAAUGAUGUUGGUGCUGUCUCUCCAUGAGUAGGGCCAACAGUGGGCAGCUUCAGGAGGGCAUGUAGGUUUGGAGCAGGUGAAAGUAGCAGUUCUAUGGAAAGCUGCAGUGUUUCAUAGUCAUAGAGUCAUAGACCAGUUUCAUAGAGUCAUAGAAUAGAAUCACAGAAUUGUUUGAUUUGGAAGGGACCUUUAAAGAUCAUCUAAUCCAACUCUCCUGCAAUGAACAGAGACACCUACUGCUACAUCAGACGCUCAGAAUCUCUUCCAGCCUGACCUUGAAAGUCUCCAAGGACAGAUUGUGUUGCUUUGGACUGCUUUGAUUGCUUCAUGAGUCAAGGAAACCAAGCAUACUCAAAAAAAGUUGACUGUAUGUGAGCCAACAAGUACUGCAGGACUUUUCUCUCAUAAAUCUGCAUGUAGUUAAGAAG